rnacentral:rRNA from 1 species
UAAACAUUGGUACAUCAUUACAUUUUUCAAUCCGCCCGGGUACUACAAGCGCUAGCUUAAAACCCAAAGGACUUGGCGGUGCUUAAGAUCCCCCUAGAGGAGCCUGUUCUAGAACCGAUAAUCCACGUUUAACCUCACCCUCCCUUGUUUCUCCCGCCUAUAUACCGCCGUCGUCAGCUUACCCUGUGAAGGUCUAACAGUGAGCAAAAAUGGCACAGCCCAAAACGUCAGGUCGAGGUGUAGCGCAUGAGAGGGGAAGAAAUGGGCUACAUUCUCUAAAAUAGAAGCAUACGGAUAAUAUAUUGAAAUAUAUAUUUUAAGGAGGAUUUAGCAGUAAGUAGAAAUUAGAAUAUUCCACUGAAUCCGGCCCUAAAGCGCGC